rnacentral:sRNA from 1 species
GCUGGGCAUGGUGGCGCAUGCCUGUAGUUCCAGUUGCUCUGGAGGCUGAGGCAGGAGAAUUGCUUGAACCCGGGAGGUGGAGGAUGCAGUGAGCAGAGAUCGUGCCACUGCACUCCAGCCUGGGCAACAGAGCAAGACUCUGUCUCAC